rnacentral:lncRNA from 1 species
GAUUUCGCCGUCGACUAUCCACCACUCGGACUUCUCCUCCGACUUCCUCAUAGCCAGGGCCGGAGACUUGUGCCUUUGCCGGCGCCGGGACGGGCCGGACUCGGUCCGGACCCACCGGAUUUGGUCGACGGCGGCCUGGAAGCAUGAAGGUGAGUUCUUGAGUCGUUUUGCGAAGGAGAGCAUUAGGGAAGCACAGUUCGCGGCUUUGGUGCCGAGUACUGUGUACUAGUAAUCUGAGCGAAACCCGGUUUGACAAAACAAAAAAAUUAGAAGGAAAAAAAAACCGCUUAUAGCCGCGCGGCUAUACUAUUCCAUGUUAAAAGUAGGAAAAAGCGAGUUUAGCUCGAGUAUAGCCGCGCGGCUAUACUAUUCCUUUUUUUAAAAAAUUUGGAAAAAAACCCUGUAUUUUCUAUUUCUUUAAAAAAUCAAAAAAACCCAGUAUAGUCGGUCGGCUAUACUAUUUCUUUAAAAAAUUAAUAAACCGAGUAUAACCUUUCGGCAAUACUAUUUCUUUAAAAAAAAAUUCAAAAAUCGAGUAUAGCUGAGCGGCUAUAAUGAUUCUGAACUGGCGUAAUCUCAGAGCCGACGACAUCCCUAGGGGUUGCCACCUCAGCCAUGGCCCCGUCCGUAUUGUUAACAUGGACCGGUGAGCAAAGCUCAAAACUCCUCCUAUUUUUUUCCUUUAUUAAUUUCUAAUUCGAACUUUACUUUUCUCCUACUUUCCUAGCAAGCAAACAGAUUUCUUUGUGUGUUAUGGUCUGUUUGAUUGCUUAAUCUUACUGAUUGGAACGAAUUUUAAAAACCCGAGUAUAGCCCCGUGGCUAUAUAAUUUCUUUUUUAAAAAAACAAUUUGAAAAAAAAAACUAGUAUAGCCGCGCGGCUAUAUUAUUUCUUUUAAAAGAAUUAUAGAAACCGAGUAUAGCCCAUUUCUUUUAUAAAAAAAAAAAAAGACAAUUUGAAAAAACAGAGUAUUUCAUCAAAAACAUAUAGAAUCAGUUAGUAACUGUAAAAGGCUCAUGAAUUUGUUUGGAAGGAUUAAGCUUCAGUAUAUACAUAGAGAGAGGAAUGCUGUGGCUGAUUGUUUGGCUACUUGAAGUCACAACUUGAAUCUGGGCUGCUGCUUUUUUGAGGAGAGUCCUGGGGUUUGGUGUCUGGGGAUUUUCCCCCUUUCUUGAAAAGGAAAAACAUAUGGAAUCUCUUAGCGCUUGGUGAAGGUCCUUAAUCUUUAUCAGUUAGUGCUCUUCCUCGUGGAACUGAGAGGAAGCAGCAUGAGGGAUAUGAGGAGGUCAUUCCCCCAACACCAACACCAACAGCACAAAUGAAAACCUGGGGAAAAGUUUGUAGUUCCAUCAUUCUACGUCAUGUUUAUCAUUUUAGUUUUAUUUCCUGGUUCUCAAUAUUCUUACUUAAAUUUGAUAAAGAGCAUAGCCAAGCAUUUGCUGGUGGUUAAACAAAUACGAUUAUCCUUGCUUGCCAUUUCUUUUAUCACCUACUGACCUCUAUUUCUGUUAUUGCAAUUUCUGUUUACUGUCUUAUGCUGUGAGAUUGAGAUAACGGAGUUAGAUGAAUUCGCACAAGCUGAUUUUCGUGGACAUAAUUUCUCUGAACCGUAUUCAGAACGGUAUAUUUCAUACUAUUUAUUACACUAAUGAAAAAAUAUACUAGUAAGCUAUUGAUUAUGUUGAUUAUGUGAAUACCAAACCAUUGCAGUGAAAGUGCUGAUAUGAUAUGCUUGAAUGUGAUUUCCAUUUACUUGCAGGUUUGUUGUGCCCCAGCAGGAGCUGGCAAAACAAACAUAGCUAUGAUUUCUAUUCUACGUGAGGUAUGCAAAUGAUUGGCUAUUCCUGGGUCUCUAUUCUCAUUUUUGGUAAUCAUACUUUUUCUCUUACUACUUUGGCUUGAUCUCAAAUUCAGACAUUUGUUUUUGUAUUGUGUUUGGGUUAAUUGCAUAGUUAAAAUGGCAUGGGGACGGCUGUAAAUUAGGAAAGACCGAGUACAGCCGGGCGGCUAUAUUAAAUCAAAGCCAAGUACAGCCGCCCGGCUAUAAUAUUUCCUUUUAAAAAAAAAUAUAAAAAUCGAGUAUAGCCGUGAGGCGAUACUAUUAAAAAAUUAGCAAAACGGAGUAUAGCCGAUCGGCUAUACUAUUUCUAAAAAAAAAUUUAGGAAAAACCGAGUAUAGCCGCCGGCUAUACUAUUUCUUGAAAAAAAUUUGAAAAAUCGACUAAAGCCGCCCAAUUACACUAUUCCUUAAAAAAAAAAAAAAAUCCGAGUAUAGCCGCGUGGCUAUACGAUUUCUCUAAAAUAUUUGGAAAGGGGUAUAGCCGCGGCCAUACUAUUUUGAGAACAAGGCGAGUGCGGCGCAUGAACUAUUCUCUGAGCUGCUUUCGACGCUUGUUGGGGAUGUUAUCUCUGGGAAUGAUGAAUCGCUCAUGUGGAGGCACGUGAUCACCGAUCUCGUGGAUUUCUCCGUCGACUAUCCACCACUCGGACUUCUCCUCCGACUUCCUCAUAGCCAGGGCAAGAGACUUGUGCCUUCGCCGACGCCGGGAGGGGCCGGACUCAGUCCGAACCCACCAUAUUUGGUUGACGGCGGAUUGGAAGCAUGAAGGUGAGUUCUUGAGUCGUUUUGCGAGGGUGAGCAUUUGGGUAGCACAGUUCGCGGCUUUGGUGCUGAGUACUGUUACAGCGCCAGUUCUACCAAUUCGAGGGCAACCCAGUCCGACAAAACCAGUUUUUUAGUUUUUAUUAUCGAUAACUUUUUAUAAUUACGGUUCAAUUUAAUUGAAUUUAAGAUUAUUGAUGAUAUUAAACUCACACACACUAUAAGGAUGUUAAGAUUUGAAUUCAGAAUUUUUUUUUUCGCACGAUUUAUAUUUAAACUUAAAGAAAAGGAGUUGAAACUAAU